UUUGCAACCUCAUUUAAAAAAAAAAACUCUCUCUUCUCUCUCAACCCUUCCCUUCUAUCCGGCCAUGGGGUGUCGCCGGUCCGCCUCGGCCACCGGUUUUCGACGACGGCGAUUGCCGCCUCCGGUGGCUAAAAAAUUCCAAAAUGCCCCAUUUUGAUCUUUUAAACGCGUAAAACGCGAAUCUAGGGUUAGAAUCCCCAAAAUCUUGAUCAAAAUCUGACCAAAUGCGAAGAAGGUGCAGUAGAAUAGGUAAAAAAAGAACUCCCUUUUUCCUUUUUUUUAUAUCUUUAUAUUUGCUUUGAAGUAAAAAAUGAAAAAUAAAAAAAGACUACCUUUUUUUCUUUUCGAACUUUUUCUUUUCUUUUUUUAUUGCUUUUUAGUAUUUCUCUGUUUUUCUCCCCCCGAAUACAAUUUGUUUUCCGGCUUUAUAGCUGAUUUACAAGAUUAUUUUCCUAUUUUUUCUACUAUUUUAGCUAUUGUUUAUGUCUAUUGCAUGUUGUUUCUUCUUUGCAGGUGGUGGUUGAGUAAACAGUGGCAGAGGUAUUGACGGUGGCAGAUGUUGAGGCGCGAACAUGUUGACGUGGCAAGAGGAGCUGCGCAAGGGACACUAGGAUUUUUGUUUUUUCUUAAAACAAUUUAAGUUGUGGGCCACUGAGCCAUUAGGAUUUUUUGUUUUUUUUUACAAUUUGAGUUUAUAAAUUUAAGCAUGAUUUGAUGGAUUUAGACACUUAUUAUUUAUUAUUUAUUUUUAUAUUUGGUUUGGUUUUUUAACUGUACCCAGGC
rnacentral:lncRNA from 1 species